rnacentral:rRNA from 1 species
UACAGAGGUCUCAAGCGUUGUUCGGAUUCAUUGGGCGUAAAGGGUGCGUAGGCGGCGCGGUAAGUCGGGUGUGAAAUCUCGGGGCUUAACUCCGAAACUGCAUUCGAUACUGCCGUGCUUGAGGACUGGAGAGGAGACUGGAAUUUACGGUGUAGCGGUGAAAUGCGUAGAUAUCGUAAGGAAGACCAGUGGCGAAAGCGGCUCACUGGAUCUCUUCUGACGCUGAGGCACGAAAGCUAGGGUAGCGAACGGG